UACAGAGGUCCCGAGCGUUGUUCGGAUUCACUGGGCGUAAAGGGUGCGUAGGUGGCAUGGCAAGUUUGAUGUGAAAUCCCUGGGCUCAACCCAGGAACUGCACCUGAAACUACCAGUCUUGAGUGGUGGAGAGGGAAGUGGAAUUCCUGGUGUAGAGGUGAAAUUCGUAGAUAUCAGGAGGAACACCAGUGGCGAAGGCGGCUUCCUGGACACCAACUGACGCUGAGACGCGAAAGCGUGGGGAGCAAACAGG
rnacentral:rRNA from 1 species